rnacentral:rRNA from 1 species
GUAGGUGGCAAGCGUUGUCCGGAAUUAUUGGGGCGUAAAGCGCGCGCAGGCGGUUCUUUAAGUCUGAUGUGAAAGCCCACGGGCUCAACCGUGGAGGGUCAUUGGAAACUGGAGAACUUGAGUACAGAAGAGGAAAGCGGAAUUCCACGUGUAGCGGUGAAAUGCGUAGAGAUGUGGAGGAACACCAGUGGCGAAGGCGGCUUUCUGGUCUGUAACUGACGCUGAGGCGCGAAAGCGUGGGGAGCAAACAGGAUUAGAUACCCUGGUAGUCCACGCCGUAAACGAUGAGUGCUAAGUGUUAGGGGUUUCCGCCCCUUAGUGCUGCAGCUAACGCAUUAAGCACUCCGUCUGGGGAGUACGGCCGCAAAGGCUG